GGCUGCGCUCGCCCUACCCGACCGACUCCCCGCCGUCUGCUCGCCGCGCGCUCUUCUGGCGGGCUGGGCGCCGUCGCCAACGCCACCGGCUUCGAGGCUCCGCCCACUUCGGGCUCCCGCACGCGCGGCGCAAUGCUUCAGAUUUUUGACAUAGUCUCACUAUGUACACCUGGGUGGCCUGGAAGGCACUAUGUAGACCUGACUGCCCUUGAACCUUUCUCCAUCUUUCUGUCUUUACCUCCUGAGUACUAGGAUUACAGGCACAGAGUGAAUGGGCUUCUUCCUGACAUGUGUUCCCAUCACAGUGUACUGCGCCACUGAAAGCCCCCAAGAACAAGGCCAAUCAG